AGUGAACGCUGGCGGUAUGCCUAACACAUGCAAGUCGAACGGCAGCACAGUAAGAGCUUGCUCUUACGGUUGGCGAGUGGCGGACGGGUGAGGAAUACAUCGGAAUCUACUUUUUCGUGGGGGAUAACGUAGGGAAACUUACGCUAAUACCGCAUACGACCUACGGGUGAAAGCAGAGGAUCUUCGGACCUUGCGCGAUUCAAUUAGCCGAUGUCGGAUUAGCUAGUUGGCGGGGUAAGGGCCCACCAAGGCGACGAUCCGUAGCUGGUCUGAGAGGAUGAUCAGCCACACUGGAACUGAGACACGGUCCAGACUCCUACGGGAGGCAGCAGUAGGGAAUAUUGGACAAUGGGCGAAAGCCUGAUCCAGCAAUGCCGCGUGAGUGAAGAAGGCCUUCGGGUUGUAAAGCCCUGUUGUUAGGGAAGAACAGCAGUAGGUUAAUACCUCGAUGUCCUGACGGUACCCAAAGAAUAAGCAACGGCUAACUUCGUG
rnacentral:rRNA from 1 species